CCUACGGGGGGCAGCAGUCGAGAAUCAUUCACAAUGGGGGAAACCCUGAUGGUGCGACGCCGCGUGGGGGAAUGAAGGUCUUCGGAUUGUAAACCCCUGUCAUGUGGGAGCAAAUUAAAAAGAUAGUACCACAAGAGGAAGAGACGGCUAACUCUGUGCCAGCAGCCGCGGUAAUACAGAGGUCUCAAGCGUUGUUCGGAAUCACUGGGCGUAAAGCGUGCGUAGGCUGUUUCGUAAGUCGUGUGUGAAAGGCGCGGGCUCAACCCGCGGACGGCACAUGAUACUGCGAGACGAGAGGAAUGGAGGGGGAACCGGAAUGCUCGGUGUAGCAGUGAAAUGCGUAGAUAUCGAGAGGAACACUCGUGGCGAAGGCGGGUUCCUGGACAUUAACUGACGCUGAGGCACGAAGGCCAGGGGAGCGAAAGGGAUUAGAUACCCCAGUAGUC
rnacentral:rRNA from 1 species